rnacentral:rRNA from 1 species
CCUACGGGUGGCAGCAGUGAGGAAUAUUGGUCAAUGGGCGAAAGCCUGAUGGAGCAACGCCGCGUGCAGGAUGAAGGACUUCGGGUUGGAAACUGCUUUUAUAAGCGAGAAAUAUGAUGGUAACUUAUGAAUAAGGAUCGGCUAACUACGUGACAGCAGCCGCGGUCAUACGUAGGAUCCGAGCAUUAUCCGGAGUGACUGGGUGUAAAGAGUUGCGUAGGUGGCAUAAUAAGUAGCUAGUGAAAUCUGGUGGCUCAACCAUUCAGACUAUUAGCUAAACUGUUAAGCUCGAGACCGUUAGGGGUAACUGGAAUUUCUAGUGUAGGAGUGAAAUCCGUAGAUAUUAGAAGGAACACCAAUAGCGUAGGCAGGUUGCUGGGACGGUUCUGACACUAAGGCACGAAAGCGUAGGGAGCAAACGGGAUUAGAUACCCUGGUAGUC